GCCACCAUAGCUCAAGUGGUAGAGUAGCGGCAUAUGAAGCCGAAGGUCGUGGGUUCGAGUCCCGCUUGUGACA
rnacentral:tRNA from 1 species